rnacentral:rRNA from 1 species
GCCCUUUUCCGGUUGAUCCUGCCGGAAGCUACUGCUAUUGGGAUUCGACUAAGCCAUGCGAGUCAAGGUGUCUUCGGACGCCGGCGUACGGCUCAGUAACACGUAGGUAACCUACCCUCAGGACUGAGAUAACCCCGGGAAACUGGGGCUAAUAUUAGAUAGAUAAAAGAUACUGGAAUGUUCUUUUAUCCAAAGCUUUUGCGCCUGAGGAUGGGCCUGCGUCCGAUUAGGUUGUUGGUGGGGUAAUGGCCCACCAAGCCUACGAUCGGUACGGGCAGUGAGAGCUGAAGCCCGGAGUUGGGGACUGAGACAAGGCCCCAGGCCCUACGGGGCGCAGCAGGCGCGAAACCUCUGCAAUGCGGGAAACCGUGACAGGGGGAUCCCAAGUGCUCAUGCAUUGCAUGGGCUGUUCUUUGGUCUAAGUAACCAGAGGAGUAAGGGCUGGGCAAGACCGGCGCCAGCCGCCGCGGUAAUACCGGCAGCUCAAGUGGUAGCCGCGAUUAUUGGGCCUAAAGCGUUCGUAGCCGGAUAAGUAAGUCUUUGGUUAAAUCCUGCAACUUAACUGUGGGAAAUCUAGGGAUACUGCUUGUCUUGAGACCGGGAGAGGUUAGAGGUACUCCUAGGGUAGGGGGUGAAAUCCUGUAAUCCUAGGGGGACCACCUGUGGCGAAGCGUCUAACUGGAACGGUC